rnacentral:rRNA from 1 species
UACGUAGGGUGCGAGCGUUGUCCGGAAUUAUUGGGCGUAAAGAGCUCGUAGGCGGUGUGUCACGUCGUUCGUGAAAACCUGCAGCUUAACUGUGGGCGUGCGGUCGAUACGGGCAUCACUGGAGUUCGGCAGGGGAGACUGGAAUUCAUGGUGUAGCGGUGAAAUGCGCAGAUAUCAGGAGGAACACCGGUGGCGAAGGCGGGUCUCUGGGCCGAUACUGACGCUGAGACGCGAAAGCGUGGGGAGCAAACAGG